CACAACGUAAGUCACUCUGGCUCAAAACAACCGGUCGUUUUUAUCGAACCAAUGGCGGUCUCCCCAUCAGACGGUCAAGGAUGGUCGUCAUCCAUCGGAUGAGAAGACUUAUUCACCUCUAAAUAGCUUCAUCCCAAGAUGCUGACGAUGGUAGCUGCUAAAUGCUG